ACUGAAAGAUCCUCGAGUUUAUUUCAAGCAGGAAAGGCGCCUGGCAAUUUCCCUGGCCUUCUUCGAAUGCCUCUUGUUCUCAUGGGCGCCUCCCUUUUUUGGUCUCUCCAUUGCAGAUCUCUUUCUCGAGGCUUCCCUGCCUUGCUUUUUGUUCUAGAAUUCUACUCACCGAUGGCCGCCUCAAGAGUUUGAAAGGAUUUGAGUCUUUAGAAAUUCUUAUUUGACCGUCGCUAGAUCGAGGGACUUCUUUCUGAGAGAUCUACUUGAAGAUCUUUCAAAUAACCGCUUCGUUUUUGUGGGAUCUGAUGCCGUAUCAAUUAUAGGGCAUGGCGUUGAAACUGCCUUUGAACCGGGACUCCGGAGCCGAUACACAGGUUCGCAGUCUCAGAGUUAAUGAUUUCACGGGAAGGCUUACUGGUCGACGCGUAGGUGCUGCAUCUAUUAAUGAUCUCAGAGUUCAUGAUUGCUGGAGAUGUUGUUGUUAAGAUCAAUUGUGGCAGGUCGUUCCAUGUAUCUUGUUGAUGUAAAUGGAUGCAUAGGACGGAAAGGCCCGAGUCUGAGUGUGGCUUAUGAGUCCUGAUCCAUCUUUGUCAUCCGACCUUUGCCAUGACAGGUGCGCUUGCAUGGCAGGUCACAAAAAAGCAUAAUAAAAAAAGUUAUACGUUUUUUGGUUUGAGGGGGAGAUCGCACGGGAGUUUGCCCGGGAUCUCCCCACCGGUGUGUGCCGUUUCCCUGUGCUGCUUUUUCUGUGUUCAUUUAUAUUUUUGCUCGCGACGCCCAUGGUUGCCUACCAGAAGAAAAGGGUAAGCUGAGCUACACCAGCAACGUUACAACUCAUACACUAGCAAUUCACAUGGAUUUUGAGGUAUACUCUUUAUUUCAUAUUUUCCCUUUGUUUGCAUUUGAGACGUAUGGGCCACUCAAUAUAUUAAAUUCAUUCAACAACAGAUUUUAAAAGUACAGACAAACUAUAGGUCCAUUCCGUUAAUCAUAUAACUAUUCUUGUUGCUCAAUAAAAUUAAAUUUGAAAAAUAGAAAAGAUAAAUCUUAAUGAUUGUCUGUUGGAAAUCUUGUCGUUGGCGUUCGUCAAAUCAACUGUGUGCUUCAAUGGUAAAGUUUUGUGUUUUGUAUAUGCAAAAGAUCGCUACAAUUUUUGCCCAAAUAGGACGGAACAAAGUAGUUCAGUUGUAUGCUGUAGGUGUUGAUUCUUUGGUACCCGAUGCCUCAAGUAUAAUAAAAGGAAUCAUUAAAAGUAUAUGUUCAUUAUCAACGGACUUCAGGUAUUUCAGUGGCUGCGAUUACUUUCUAUGAAUAUAAUUAAGGGCUCAAUGGAAUAGUUCACUACUUGCAUAUCACAAGAUGCCAUAGUUUCUUGAUGGCAUCCCAACUCUGUUUCUAAUUAAGGGUUCAAUGGCUGCAAUUCCUGUAAGUUCUAGGAAAAUAUUCAGUUAUAAUGUUGCAAUGUUUCCCUCGUAAUUCUUGGUUUUGGUUUGGCCAAUGAUUAUCUAUUGCUUGUGCUCUUUGUAGCGAAUAUGAAAUUGGAGCUUGUAAGGCAAAUUUUAUGCCAGUAUGUAUUGGAAUCAAAUGGUUUGUAUAUCAGUAUAUCUUCGAGGCAAAUUGUAUGCCAGUAUGUCUUGGAAUGAAAUGGUUGCUUGAUUUCAUCUAUUGUAUUAGCAGUUUUUGAUCUUUCAACAAUUGUAUUUGUAUGGAGUCGUUUGGUCAUUUGAAGUGCUUGUGGCGAGCCUAUGUUCUCCUGUCUUAUUGAUAUUUCGACCCCUAGCUGAUGGUGUGGAAAGGUUUCAUGCAGCAUUGAAGUUAUUGGUAUCAAACAGGACUCGUGAAAGUUACAGUUGGCAGUUUAGUUUUAUUUUUUGGUCUGCUGUUAUAAAUGAUAGUUUGAAUGAAUAUUCUUUCACCAAGCAAGCAUUGUACAAGUCCGAGACUGGAAAACUUGCUUAGGAAAAAUGACUGAACUCAUGUCAAUCUACCAACGACUGCCAGGCAUUUGAUUCAUUGGUUAAAGGAAAUGGUAUGGUCCUGUUGUUUUUUUUUAUAUUUUUGAAUGAAAUGGUAACUGUCUUACGAUUAUCGUACAAGUUAUUUUAUAAAAAAUACUCGAUUGGAGGGUUCGAAAGAGUGACCGAAGAGCUUUCAACUUUGGGAAUCGGUCAGAGUUACAAGCUGGGCGUCGAUGGGAGGGGAUUAACAAGAACUCAGUUUUCGGUACGUGAGAUGGAUGCUGUACACUGGAUGGAUCACGAAGUAAACACCGAAAACAGAGAUGCAUGACGGCUGGAAUCUGACUUCAAGGGGCUUGCGACCAGGGAAUCCUCUAUCACAUUUCCUCUUUGUUUUAGUAAUCGAGCCAUUGAGUCGCAUGAAGGAGGCUGUCGUAAGGGGGGGAUUUCUUGCUGGUUUUCGGUGGGCAACAAUAGUAAUAGUGUCGGUUCCAUUUCUCACUUACUAUUCGCGGAUGAUACGCUCAUCUUUUGUGAUGUUGUUAGUGACCAAAUUCAAGCUCUAAAUGAACUUUAGUAUUAGUUUUUGAUAUGUAGUAGUGUCCUUUUAUUCUAAAUGGACAUAAAUGUUUGGUUGUGUUUUUAUUUCACAGAUGUAUUUAUGCAGAAGUUGGCGUUCUUUUAGGCG